rnacentral:rRNA from 1 species
AUGCAGAUCGGAAGCACCUCUACGUGCAUCUCCGGUCCCUGCCCCAAGGGAUUGCUUUCCCACGGGUCACUAGUCGUCCUGCCGCUCAGCCUGCUCAUCGCCAUGGUGGUCCGCUACAGAUGCAUCAAGCGGCGUAUCGCCAUUGAAUCCGCCGCGGACCAGCACUACACGGUGGUGUCGGACCAAGUGAUGAUGAACGCCACGGUCGAGAGGUUCGUGCUGGAGAUGGCCGACGAGAAGCCCAUUCGCUUCACGCCGGAGCAGCUCGCCGGAUACACGCGCAACUACUCCGCGCGCCUCGGCGCCGGCGGCUUCGGCACCGUCUACCGGGGAGAGCUCCCCAACGGCCUCGCCGUGGCCGUCAAGCUGCUCCACCCUGGCCUGGACACCAAGACGUCCGAGGAGCAGUUCAUGGCGGAGAUGGGCACCAUCGGCAGGACGCACCACAUCAACCUUGUCAGGCUCUACGGCUUCUGCUUCGAUGCCGACUCCACACGCGCGCUCGUCUACGAGUUCAUGGACCACGGCUCCCUCGACGACUACCUCUCCUCCGCCCGCAGGGACGGCGGCGUGAGCAUGCCCACCGUGGCCGCCGUCGCCACCGGCGUCGCCAGGGGCCUCAGGUACCUCCACGAGGAGUGCCAGCACAAGAUCGUGCACCAAGACAUCAAGCCCGGCAACGUCCUCCUUGGCGGCGCCGCCCUCACGCCCAAGCUGGCCAACUUCGGCCUCGCGCGCCUCGUCAACCGUGCUGACACACACGUCUCCCUGUCCCACGGGGGCGGUACCCCCGGCUACGCCGCGCCGGAGGUGUGGUUGGAACUACGCAUCACGGAGAAGUGCGACGUCUACAGCUUCGGCAUGCUCCUGCUCAAGAUCCUCGAGCAUGCUAGCAACCAUGACGCAGAUGCCGCGCCGGAGAGCAGCCGACAGUGGUUCCCAAUGGCCGCGUGGACCAGGUACGAGGCCGGUGAGCUGAUGGAGCUCGUCGUGUCAACGAUCCACCAAGAUCCGCGUUGCAGGGAGCUGGCGGAGAUGAUGAUCAAGGUGGCCUUCUGGUGUGCGCAGCAGCGGCCAUCGGAGAGGCCGUCCAUGAGCGCGGUGGUGAAGAUGCUGGAGGGAGAGACGGAGAUUGCCCCGCCGCCCAACCCGUUCCAGUACCUCAUGGGGAUGGAGCCGCCGGCGGCUAACCUGCGGACGACAAUGGCGAGCAGCUCUGUAACCACGAGCAACCACAUCAUCUCCUUUUAA